GCCGUUCUUACAUCAGCUGAUAUCUCAAAGUGCUGUACAGAAACCCAGCCUAAAACCCCAAACAGCAAGCAAUGCAGGUGUAGAAGCACGGUGGCUAGGAAAAACUCCCUAGAAAGGCCAAAACCUAGGAAGAAACCUAGAGAGGAACCAGGCUAUGAGGGGUGGCCAGUCCUCUUCUGGCUGUGCCGGGUGGAGAUUAUAACAGCACAUGGCCUAGAUGUUCAAAUGUUCAUAAAUUACCAGCAUUGUCAAAUAAUAAUAAUCAUAGUAGUUGUCGAGGGUGCAACAAGUCAGUAACACAAGAGUAAGUGUCAGUUGGCUUUUUCAUAGCCGAUCUUUGAGAGUAUCUCUACCACUCCUGCUGUCUCUAGAGAGUUGAAAACAGCAGGUCUGGGACAGGUAGCACGUCCGGUGAACAGGUCAGGGUUCCAUAGCUGCAGGCAGAACAGUUGGAACUGGAGCAGCAGCACGGCCAGGUGAACUGGGGACAGCAAGGAGUCAUCAAGCCAGGUAGUCCUGAGGCAUGGUCCUAGGGCUCAGGUCCCCCGAGAGAGAGAAAGAAAGAAAGAAAGAAAGAAAGAGAAAGAGAGAAUUAGAGAGAGCAUAUUUAAAUUCACACAGGACACCGGAAAAGACAAGAGAAAUACUCCAGAUGUGACAGACUGACCCUAGCCCCCCGACACAUAAACUACUGCAGCAUAAAUACUGGAGGGUGAGACGAGGGGUCAGGAGACACUGUGGCCCCAUCCGAUGAAACCCCCGGACAGAGCCAAACAGGUAGGAUAUAACCCCACCCACUUUGCCAAAGCACAGCCUCCACACCACUGGAGGGAUAUCUCCAACCACCAACAUACCAUCCCGGGACAAGGCCGAGUAUAGCCCACAAAGAUCUCCGCCACGGCACAGCCCAAGGGGGGCGCCAACCCAGACAGGAAUACCACGUCAGUGACACAACCCACUCAAGUGACGCACCCCUCCCAGGGACGGCAUGGAAGAACACCAGUAAGCCAGUGACUCAGCCCCCGUAAUAGGGGUAGAGGCAGAGAAUCCCAUUGGAAAGAGGGGAAACCGGCCAGGCAGAGACAACAAGGGCGGUUCGUUGCUCCAGCCUUUCCAUUCACCUUCACACCCCUGG
rnacentral:lncRNA from 1 species